CCUACGGGUGGCAGCAGUGGGGAAUAUUGGACAAUGGGGGCAACCCUGAUGCAGCCAUGCCGCGUGUGUGAAGAAGGCCCUCGGGUUGUAAAGCACUUUCAGUGAGGAAGAACGGCUGGUGGUUAAUACCCAUCGGGAAAGACAUCACUCACAGAAGAAGCACCGGCUAACUCCGUGCCAGCAGCCGCGGUAAUACGGAGGGUGCGAGCGUUAAUCGGAAUUACUGGGCGUAAAGCGCGCGUAGGUGGCUUGAUAAGCCGGUUGUGAAAGCCCCGGGCUCAACCUGGGAACGGCAUCCGGAACUGUCAAGCUUGAGUGCAGGAGAGGAAGGUAGAAUUCCAGGUGUAGCGGUGAAAUGCGUAGAGAUCGGGAGGAAUACCAGUGGCGAAGGCGGCCCUCUGGACUGACACUGACGCUGAGGUGCGAAAGCGUGGGUAGCAAACAGGAUUAGAUACCCUUGUAGUC
rnacentral:rRNA from 1 species